rnacentral:rRNA from 1 species
GACGUAGGAGGCGAGCGUUAUCCGGAUUUAUUGGGCGUAAAGCGCGUGCAGGCGGUUCUGUAAGUUGGGUAUGAAAUCUCCUGGCUUAACUGGGAGAGGCUGCUCAAAACUGCAGGACUCGAGAAUGGGAGAGGGAGGUGGAAUUCCGGGUGUAGUGGUGAAAUGCGUAGAUAUCCGGAGGAACACCAGUGGCGAAAGCGGCCUCCUAGACCAUUUCUGACGCUCAGACGCGAAAGCUAGGGUAGCAAACGGG